rnacentral:rRNA from 1 species
UACGGAGGGGGCUAGCGUUGUUCGGAAUUACUGGGCGUAAAGCGCACGUAGGCGGAUUGCUAAGUCAGGGGUGAAAUCCUGGAGCUCAACUCCAGAACUGCCUUUGAUACUGGCGAUCUUGAGUCCGGGAGAGGUGAGUGGAACUGCGAGUGUAGAGGUGAAAUUCGUAGAUAUUCGCAAGAACACCUGAGGCGAAGGCGGCUUGCUGGGCAUGAUCUGACGCUGAGGCGCGAAAGCGUGGGGAGCAAACAGG